rnacentral:rRNA from 1 species
AGAGUUUGAUCAUGGCUCAGAACGAACGCUGGCGGCAGGCUUAACACAUGCAAGUCGAACGCCCCGCAAGGGGAGUGGCAGACGGGUGAGUAACACGUGGGAAUCUACCCUUUGCUACGGAACAACUCCGGGAAACUGGAGCUAAUACCGUAUGUGCCCUUCGGGGGAAAGAUUUAUCGGCAAAGGACGAGCCCGCGUCGGAUUAGCUAGUUGGUGGGGUAAAGGCCUACCAAGGCGACGAUCCGUAGCUGGUCUGAGAGGAUGAUCAGCCACACUGGGACUGAGACACGGCCCAGACUCCUACGGGAGGCAGCAGUGGGGAAUAUUGGACAAUGGGCGCAAGCCUGAUCCAGCCAUGCCGCGUGUGUGAUGAAGGCCUUAGGUUGUAAAGCACUUUCGCCAGGGACGAUAAUGACGGUACCUGGAUAAGAAGCCCCGGCUAACUUCGUG